UGAAUUUAGGAUGUGUGCCAGACAUAUAUGGUCUAAUUGGCAUAAGAAAUGGAAAGGGGAGGAAAAGAGAAAAUAGUUUGGAGGUGCUCUAAAUCUAGUUAUGAAGUUAAGUUUAAAGAGGAGCUUGAGAAAAUGGACAAACUUGGUAAGGAUAUUUGUAGGGAUUUGUUAUAUUAUCCAAAAAUGUCAUGGGUUAGAGCUUAUUUUGAAGUGCAUUCCAAGUGUGAUGUUGUUGAAAAUAAUAUAUGUGAAACCUUUAAUUCAUGGAUUUUAGCUUCUAGGCAUAAAUCAAUUAUAACUAUGUUGGAGGAGAUUAGAAGGAAAAUAAGGACUAGGCAAGUGGAUAUGUUGAAAUUUGCUGAUACUUGGAUAUCUGAUAUAUCACCUAUGGCAAGGCUAUUGUUAGAGGAUAGCAAAGACCUUGCUAGAAAAUGUACUGUCCUUUGGAAUGCUGAUGUUGGAUUUGAGAUUGGAGAAGGGCUGCAUAAGCAUGUAGUUAAUCUGACUGAUAAGGUUUGCACUUGUAGAGCUUGGCAGUUGAGGGGUAUUCCAUGUCAACAUGCUGUUCUUGCAUACUAUCACAUAAACGAAGAACCUGAACAGGCAGUAGAGCAUUGGUAUAAGAGGGAUACCUUCUUAAAAGCAUACAAGUAUUUCAUCCAGCCUAUGACAAAUAUGAAGAUGUGGCCUGAAACCAACAAUCCUAAGAUAGAGCCUCCCAAACCUAAACCUAUGCCUGGUAGACCUCAGAGGAACAGAAGAAAAGGUAAAGAUGAACCAAAAAAGAAAUAUGGAAAGUUGUCCAAGUGUUGAGUGAAAAUGACAUGUUCCAAGUGCCAUCAACAAGGACAUAACAAAAGAUAUUGUAAGGCUAAAAAUUGGACGCCUUCACAACAAGGUAGCCAAAGCUCACAAGGUGCUAGCCAACCUGAUGUAGCUGGAAGCUCAAGCCAACCUACAAACUCUGUGUGCUUUGAUACAACAAGGGUUAGAAGGGUUAAUGAAGCUAGAAGCUCAAGCCAACCAACACCAAGUUCAACAGAUUCGAGCAGGCCUGCUAGAAGAGGAUUAGGUAGUCAACUUCCUCCAAAGGGUAAAGCAACUACCAGCCAAAAGAGAGGAAGGGGUGCAAGUAAAGAAGAUGCUGAAAAAGGAGCACAAAAAGGUCCAAAAAUGUUGGAUUUGGCAUCUACACAGCUGCAAGUGGAACUCAAAUAUUAAAGCCCGGAACAUCAAGCCAACGAGUUAUGGUAAGUGGUUCAACUUAUAAGAGUGCAGCUCCAACAGGAAUUGACCUUGGUUUUAAGGCUAGAGGCUUGAGGUGGAAGGGUCAAGAUGCUGUCACAACUUUCCAGUUGCAGUAGAUGAAGGCAAACUUCAGCAAGAAGUAGUAUCUUAGGAACCCAUUUUGUCUAUAUGUUAUGUAGCAACAACCUAUUAUAUUUUGGAAUCUAGUUUUUGAAGGAACUAAACUUUAAGUUGUAUU